GGCCCUACGGGUGGCUGCAGUCGAGGAUCUUCGGCAAUGGGCGCAAGCCUGACCGAGCGACGCCGCGUGGGCGAUGAAGGCCUUCGGGUUGUAAAGCCCUGUCGAGAGGGAGAAAGGGAAACUUGAUCUAUCUCUGGAGGAAGCACGGGCUAAGUUCGUGCCAGCAGCCGCGGUAAGACGAACCGUGCGAACGUUGUUCGGAAUCACUGGGCUUAAAGGGCGCGUAGGCGGGUCGCCAAGUUUGGGGUGAAAUCCUCCCGCUCAACGGGAGAACGGCCUUGAAUACUGGCGAUCUCGAGGGGGAUAGGGGCAUGCGGAACUACGGGUGGAGCGGUGAAAUGCGUUGAUAUCCGUAGGAACUCCGGUGGCGAAGGCGGCGUGCUGGAUCCCUUCUGACGCUGAGGCGCGAAAGCCAGGGGAGCAAACGGGAUUAGAUACCCCGGUAGUC
rnacentral:rRNA from 1 species